rnacentral:rRNA from 1 species
GAUGAACGCUGGCGGCGUGCCUAAUACAUGCAAGUCGAGCGAACGGACGAGAAGCUUGCUUUUCUGAUGUUAGCGGCGGACGGGUGAGUAACACGUGGAUAACCUACCUAUAAGACUGGGAUAACUUCGGGAAACCGGAGCUAAUACCGGAUAAUAUUUUGAACCGCAUGGUUCAAAAGUGAAAGACGGUUUUGCUGUCACUUAUAGAUGGAUCCGCGCUGCAUUAGCUAGUUGGUAAGGUAACGGCUUACCAAGGCAACGAUGCAUAGCCGACCUGAGAGGGUGAUCGGCCACACUGGAACUGAGACACGGUCCAGACUCCUACGGGAGGCAGCAGUAGGGAAUCUUCCGCAAUGGGCGAAAGCCUGACGGAGCAACGCCGCGUGAGUGAUGAAGGUCUUCGGAUCGUAAAACUCUGUUAUUAGGGAAGAACAAAUGUGUAAGUAACUAUGCACGUCUUGACGGUACCUAAUCAGAAAGCCACGGCUAACUACGUG